rnacentral:rRNA from 1 species
UACGGGGGGGGCAAGCGUUGUUCGGAAUUACUGGGCGUAAAGGGCUCGUAGGUGGCCAACUAAGUCAGACGUGAAAUCCCCAGGCUCAACUUGGGAACUGCGUCUGAUACUGGCAGGCUUGAAUCCGGGAGAGGGAUGUGGAAUUCCAGGUGUAGCGGUGAAAUGCGUAGAUAUCUGGAGGAACACCGGUGGCGAAGGCGGCAUCCUGGACCGGUAUUGACGCUGAUGCGCGAAAGCCAGGGGAGCAAACGGG